rnacentral:rRNA from 1 species
UCAAAAACAUGUCUUUUUGAAUUUAUUAAAAAGUUUGACCUGCCCACUGAAUUUUUAAAUGGCCGCAGUAUAUUAACUGUGCAAAGGUAGCAUAAUCAUUAGUCUUUUAAUUGAAGGCUGGUAUGAAUGGUUGGACGAAAUAUUAACUGUUUCAUAAAAAUUUAUAUUAAAAUUUUAUUUUUUAGUGAAAAAGCUAAGAUUUAAUUAAAAGACGAGAAGACCCUAUAAAUCUUUAUAUUUACAUUAUAAAAAUUUUUUUGGUAUUUUUUGUUAUUAUAAUUAAUAAUAUUUUAUUGGGGUGAUAUUAAAAUUUAAAAAACUUUUAAUUAAAAUAAUCAUUAAUUUAUGAUUUAUUGAUCCGUAUAUAACGAUUAAAAAUUUAAGUUACUUUAGGGAUAACAGCGUAAUUUUUUUGGAGAGUUCUUAUCAAUAAAAAAGAUUGCGACCUCGAUGUUGGAUUAAGAUAUAAUUUUAGGUGUAGCUGCUUAGAUUUUAAGUCUGUUCGACUUUUAAAUUCUUACAUGAUCUGAGUUUAGACCGGUGUAAGCCAGGUUGGUUUCUAUCUUUAAUAAAUUAAAAUAUUUCAGUACGAAAGGACCUUAUAUUUAAUAAAUUAUUAUUUUUAUAUUGAAUAUUAGUAAUAU